rnacentral:tRNA from 1 species
CAGGAAAUAGUUUAUUAAUAAAAUAUUAGUUUUGGAGACUAAUGAAAAGUUGUUCUUUUUUCUGA